GAUGAACGCUGGCGGCGUGCCUAAUACAUGCAAGUCGAGCGAAUGGAUUAAGAGCUUGCUCUUAUGAAGUUAGCGGCGGACGGGUGAGUAACACGUGGGUAACCUGCCCACAAGACUGGGAUAACUCCGGGAAACCGGGGCUAAUACCGGAUAACAUUUUGAACCGCAUGGUUCGAAAUUGAAAGGCGGCUUCGGCUGUCACUUAUGGAUGGACCCGCGUCGCAUUAGCUAGUUGGUGAGGUAACGGCUCACCAAGGCAACGAUGCGUAGCCGACAUGAGAGGGUGAGCGGCCACACUGGGACUGAGACACGGCCCAGACUCCUACGGGAGGCAGCAGUAGGGAAUCUUCCGCAAUGGACGAAAGUCUGACGGAGCAACGCCGCGUGAGUGAUGAAGGCUUUCGGGUCGUAAAACUCUGUUGUUAGGGAAGAACAAGUGCUAGUUGAAUAAGCUGGCACCUUGACGGUACCUAACCAGAAAGCCACGGCUAACUACGUGCCAGCAGCCGCGGUAA
rnacentral:rRNA from 1 species